rnacentral:rRNA from 1 species
UACGGAGGGGGCUAGCGUUGUUCGGAAUUACUGGGCGUAAAGCGCACGUAGGCGGCUAUUCAAGUCAGAGGUGAAAGCCCGGGGCUCAACCCCGGAACAGCCUUUGAAACUAGAUAGCUUGAAUCCAGGAGAGGUGAGUGGAAUUCCGAGUGUAGAGGUGAAAUUCGUAGAUAUUGGGAAGAACACCGGUGGCGAAGGCGGCCAUCUGGCCCGUGAUUGACGCUGAGGCGCGAAAGCGUGGGGAGCAAACAGG